AAGGACCUGAAAUUAUCCUUGAACCGGAAAAAAAAAUCCCCAAUUCAAUACUCCAUCUUUGUGAAGAGCUGGUUCCGAAUUCUGGGUCGCUUUUUGGAAAAAAUAUCUGUUGUGGUAAACAGUGCUGCAUCUGUGACCUCAAGUCUCUACUGGAAUUGGAUAGAGAUAGUGAAUUUCAGCCAGAGGGCCCAAAGAACUCAUGUCCCACGCUCCUGAACGCCAUCAGCCCCCGCACCUCCAUCUUCCCUCCUCCCACGAGUCGCCUGCUCCCCGUGACUCUGGCCUCCUUGCAGUGUUGCUGGGCCACGUCAGGAAGUGCUGGAGGACAUGGCAUUGCACCAACACCAGGCAGCCGGCCGUGUGGCUCAUCCCGCAGAUCAGGCUCUUCCUGUGCAUGGAGAUGGAGACCCCCGGAGGCAGCCCGUGGCCCAGUUCUC
rnacentral:lncRNA from 1 species